rnacentral:rRNA from 1 species
GACGAACGCUGGCGGCGUGCCUAAUACAUGCAAGUUGAGCGCUGAAGGUUGGUACUUGUACCAACUGGAUGAGCAGCGAACGGGUGAGUAACGCGUGGGGAAUCUGCCUUUGAGCGGGGGACAACAUUUGGAAACGAAUGCUAAUACCGCAUAAAAACUUUAAACACAAGUUUUAAGUUUGAAAGAUGCAAUUGCAUCACUCAAAGAUGAUCCCGCGUUGUAUUAGCUAGUUGGUGAGGUAAAGGCUCACCAAGGCGAUGAUACAUAGCCGACCUGAGAGGGUGAUCGGCCACAUUGGGACUGAGACACGGCCCAAACUCCUACGGGAGGCAGCAGUAGGGAAUCUUCGGCAAUGGACGAAAGUCUGACCGAGCAACGCCGCGUGAGUGAAGAAGGUUUUCGGAUCGUAAAAAUCUGUUGGUAGAGAAGAACGUUGGUGAGAGUGGAAAGCUCAUCAAGUGACGGUAACUACCCAGAAAGGGACGGCUAAUUACGUG